AUUGAACGCUGGCGGCAUGCUUUACACAUGCAAGUCGAACGGCAGCGCGGGCUUCGGCCUGGCGGCGAGUGGCGAACGGGUGAGUAAUACAUCGGAACGUGCCCAGUAGUGGGGGAUAGCUCGGCGAAAGCCGGAUUAAUACCGCAUACGACCUGAGGGUGAAAGCGGGGGAUCUUCGGACCUCGCGCUAUUGGAGCGGCCGAUGGCAGAUUAGCUAGUUGGUGGGGUAAAGGCCUACCAAGGCGACGAUCUGUAUCUGGUCUGAGAGGACGACCAGCCACACUGGGACUGAGACACGGCCCAGACUCCUACGGGAGGCAGCAGUGGGGAAUUUUGGACAAUGGGCGAAAGCCUGAUCCAGCAAUGCCGCGUGUGUGAUGAAGGCCUUCGGGUUGUAAAGCACUUUUGGCGGGAACGAAAAGGACUGUGCCAAUACCACGGUUCGAUGACGGUACCCGCAGAAUAAGCACCGGCUAACUACGUG
rnacentral:rRNA from 1 species